rnacentral:rRNA from 1 species
CCUACGGGAGGCAGCAGUGAGGAAUAUUGGUCAAUGGGCGUAAGCCUGAACCAGCCAAGUCGCGUGAGGGAUGAGGGUUCUAUGGAGCGUAAACCUCUUUUAUAAGGGAAUAAAGUGCGGGACGUGUCCCGUAUUGUAUGUACCACAUGAAUAAGGAUCGGCUAACUCCGUGCCAGCAGCAGCGGUAAUACGGAGGAUCCGAGCGUUAUCCGGAUUUAUUGGGCUUAAAGGGUGCGUGGGCGGCCUUUUAAGUCAGCGGUGAAAGUCUGUGGCUCAACCAUAGAAUUGCCGUUGAAACUGGGAGGCUUGAGUAUGUUUGAGGUAGGGGGAAUGCGUGGUGUAGCGGUGAAAUGCUUAGAUAUCAGGCAGAACCUCGAUUGCGAAGGCAGUCUGCCAAGCCAUGAUUGACGCUGAUGCACGAAAGCGUGGGGAUCAAACAGGAUUAGAUACCCCUGUAGUC